GAGAAGAGGAGGGCUGUGCACGUGUCGGAAGAGGCUCGUACAGCGACGUGCUCUCCUUGGAUGCAAUCUGGUAUCUCUUAGCAGCGGAGGACAAAAUUGAAUGCGCUAAAUCGGGAGGGAAAUGAGGAGUAAAUGCAUAAAAAAAACAGCUAGGUUAUUUAAUUUAAUCUAAAUAUUAUUAUUUUUUAAUUUAGCACGGGCCUAAUUUAAAUAUACCUGAUUCCCCUCUGCACUUUGGUAACCCCUGACACUUGAAUGACAUCUUCACUGACCAAGGAAGGCCACAAACUAACACACGCCUCCUCUAAUGCUUGUGAAGUAGUUGGCUGCUUCUUUACCCUUGCAAGUGGCAAUUUUUUUACAGAAAGCCCUAACACAUAGUGCCACAAUCAGACAGUAAACGAUUACAUUUACUGCAGUCUCUUUUCUCAGAUUAUUUGUGUUUUGAGGUCCCAACCAAGCCAGGUCGGCUGCAUGGCUGAAAUCUGAAGCUUCCUUCUGUUGCUGCCGAAUGUUCCGAGCUUCCAGACUGUUGUCGCUGCCGCUACAGAGGCUACAUCUGUUGAUGUUACACAUUGAGAGCCUUCAGACCUUUGCUGCUGCAUCUUUAAACCCUCAGUGCAUCACUGUUGCCACUGUAAAAGCAUCAAAACCACACUGUAAAAGGACUUAAAUAAGAUGUCUACAGAUUGCCAGCACUUUUCAGAAAACUAUUUUUGAGAGUUCACAAGAGGAAAGAUCUUGAACAAUACUUUUUUGACUCCUUGGACCACCACAUCCCACAAUUUGAGAUCUUCAAAUCCAAGAAAGUCAUUGUUGGCAGGACGGGAGAAAUCAUGGUCCAUGUUAUAAUGAAGAUGCACAAUAUCGUAGCAAAGUGGACUGCUGUUCAACGAUGUCUUCCAGUUUUUCUCAAGGAUGACUGCAGCGAUUUUUUUCAUAGUUAGUUUUAUAAGUAGCAAAGAAAAUAAUAUAAUUUGAUUUUACAAUAAAGCCAUGAAGACCUUCA